AUUGAACGCUGGCGGCGUGUUUAACACAUGCAAGUCGAUCGGUAACGCGGGGGCAACCCUGGCGACGAGAGGCGGACGGGUGAGGAACGCUUGGGAAUCUGCCUAUCAGCGGGGGACAACACGGGGAAACUCGUGCUAAUACCGCAUACGCUAUACGGAGGAAAGCAGGGGACCGCAAGGCCUGGCACUGAUAGAGGAGCCCAAGCCGGAUUAGCUAGUUGGCGGGGUAACGGCCCACCAAGGCGACGAUCCGUAGCUGGUCUGAGAGGAAGAUCAGCCACACUGGGACUGAGACACGGCCCAGACUCCUACGGGAGGCAGCAGUGGGGAAUAUUGGACAAUGGGGGAAACCCUGAUCCAGCGACGCCGCGUGGGUGAAGAAGGCCUGCGGGUUGUAAAGCCCUUUCGGUAGGGACGAAAGCUCUCGACCUAACACGUCGGGAGGUUGACUUAACCUACAAAAGAAGCACCGGCUAACUCUGUGCCAGCAGCCGCAGUAACAC
rnacentral:rRNA from 1 species